rnacentral:rRNA from 1 species
AGCGAACGCUGGCGGCAUGCCUUACACAUGCAAGUCGAACGGCAGCACGGGAGCAAUCCUGGUGGCGAGUGGCGAACGGGUGAGUAAUGUAUCGGAACGUGCCCAGUCGUGGGGGAUAACGUAGCGAAAGCUACGCUAAUACCGCAUACGAUCUAUGGAUGAAAGCGGGGGACCGUAAGGCCUCGCGCGAUUGGAGCGGCCGAUAUCAGAUUAGGUAGUUGGUGGGGUAAAGGCCUACCAAGCCGACGAUCUGUAGCCGGUCUGAGAGGACGACCAGCCACACUGGGACUGAGACACGGCCCAGACUCCUACGGGAGGCAGCAGUGGGGAAUUUUGGACAAUGGGCGCAAGCCUGAUCCAGCAAUGCCGCGUGCAGGAUGAAGGCCUUCGGGUUGUAAACUGCUUUUGUACGGAGCGAAAAGGCUCUCUCUAAUACAGGGGGCUCAUGACGGUACCGUAAGAAUAAGCACCGGCUAACUACGUGCCAGCCGCCGCAGUAAAAC